GACGAACGCUGGCGGCGUGCUUAACACAUGCAAGUCGAACGGAGAGGCCCUGCUUUUGUGGGGUGCUCGAGUGGCGAACGGGUGAGUAACACGUGAGUAACCUGCCCUUGACUUUGGGAUAACUUCAGGAAACUGGGGCUAAUACCGGAUAGGAGCUCCUGCUGCAUGGUGGGGGUUGGAACGUUUCGGCGGUUGGGGAUGGACUCGCGGCUUAUCAGCUUGUUGGUGGGGUAGUGGCUUACCAAGGCUUUGACGGGUAGCCGGCCUGAGAGGGUGACCGGCCACAUUGGGACUGAGAUACGGCCCAGACUCCUACGGGAGGCAGCAGUGGGGAAUAUUGCACAAUGGGCGGAAGCCUGAUGCAGCAACGCCGCGUGCGGGAUGACGGCCUUCGGGUUGUAAACCGCUUUCGCCUGUGACGAAGCGUGAGUGACGGUAAUGGGUAAAGAAGCACCGGCUAACUACGUG
rnacentral:rRNA from 1 species